AAUAGUUCAUACACUUGCCAUUUUGGCGCUGGCAUCUAGGAAUCUUGGGUGUUGUUGAUAAAACAGGAACCAAGUUUAUCAUUUACUAUUUGAAUUUAUUUUGUUUUGUGGAUGGUUUUGUGGUAUUGUUGUAUUUUAUUUAUUGUUAAUUGAUUAUAAACUAUAAUAGGACAAUGGUUUUUGUGUGUUGUGGACCGAAUUGUGAUGAAAAUGUAUACGAUAUUUGGGUAAAGAGGAUUGGUAAUCAUACACUGAAGUCUUGAUCCUCAAAUUGCUUAUAGGAGAUACAGAGUAUGCGAUAAGCAGUGAAUUUUGUCGAACUCCUGGGGAGAAAAAGUUAAAAUAUGGAAGUUUGCCCAUAUUAUUUUUGCCAGAUUUUCAUGAAAGUCCGACACAGGAAAAUUCGCUUUAUAAAUAUGGAAGUUGUGAAACAGAAACUCAUUUGGAAGUACCAGAUCCUAUUCCAAGCACUUCUACUGAAUGCAAUACACCCAAUAUAUAUUCUGAAGUUCAAAUCACAUUAAGGCAGCCAGGUGAAGAAGAGGAUAAUCCAUUUAUUUCAAUACCAGGUACUUCAAGGGAUUGUAUAACCCCAACCGAACAG